GACGAACGCUGGCGGCGUGCCUAAUACAUGCGAGUCGAACGCACAGUUUAUACCGUAGCUUGCUACACCAUAGACUGUGAGUUGCGAACGGGUGAGUAACGCGUAGGUAACCUGCCUGGUAGCGGGGGAUAACUAUUGGAAACGAUAGCUAAUACCGCAUAAUAUUGAUUAUUGCAUGAUAAUUGAUUGAAAGAUGCUAUUGCAUCACUACCAGAUGGACCUGCGUUGUAUUAGCUAGUAGGUGAGGUAACGGCUCACCUAGGCGACGGUACAUAGCCGACCUGAGAGGGUGAUCGGCCACACUGGGACUGAGACACGGCCCAGACUCCUACGGGAGGCAGCAGUAGGGAAUCUUCGGCAAUGGACGAAAGUCUGACCGAGCAACGCCGCGUGAGUGAAGAAGGUUUUCGGAUCGUAAAGCUCUGUUGUAAGAGAAGAACGGGUGUGAGAGUGGAAAGUUCACACUGUGACGGUAUCUUACCAGAAAGGGACGGCUAACUACGUG
rnacentral:rRNA from 1 species